CGGACGGGUGAGUAACACGUGGAUAACCUACCUAUAAGACUGGGAUAACUUCGGGAAACCGGAGCUAAUACCGGAUAAUAUAUUGAACCGCAUGGUUCAAUAGUGAAAGACGGUUUUGCUGUCACUUAUAGAUGGAUCCGCGCUGCAUUAGCUAGUUGGUAAGGUAACGGCUUACCAAGGCAACGAUGCGUAGCCGACCUGAGAGGGUGAUCGGCCACGCUGGAACUGAGACACGGUCCAGACUCCUACGGGAGGCAGCAGAC
rnacentral:rRNA from 1 species